AUUUAUAUAGUUUAAAAAAAACAUUACACUUUCAUUGUAAAAUUAAUUUUUUUUUGUAAAUG
rnacentral:tRNA from 1 species